CAGUCGCCGCGGUAAUACGAAGGGUGCAAGCGUUACUCGGAAUUACUGGGCGUAAAGCGUGCGUAGGUGGUGGUUUAAGUCCGUUGUGAAAGCCCUGGGCUCAACCUGGGAAUUGCAGUGGAUACUGGGUCACUAGAGUGUGGUAGAGGAUAGUGGAAUUUCCGGUGUAGCAGUGAAAUGCGUAGAGAUCGGAAGGAACAUCUGUGGCGAAGGCGACUAUCUGGGCCGACACUGACACUGAGGCACGAUAGCGUGGGGAGCAAACAGGAUUAGAUACCCGGGUAGUCCCUGUCUCUUAUAA
rnacentral:rRNA from 1 species